GAACGCUGGCGGCGUGCCUAAUACAUGCAAGUCGAGCGAACAGAUAAGGAGCUUGCUCCUUUGACGUUAGCGGCGGACGGGUGAGUAACACGUGGGUAACCUACCUAUAAGACUGGGACAACUUCGGGAAACCGGAGCUAAUACCGGAUAAUAUGUUGAACCGCAUGGUUCAAUAGUGAAAGAUGGUUUUGCUAUCACUUAUAGAUGGACCCGCGCCGUAUUAGCUAGUUGGUGAGGUAACGGCUCACCAAGGCAACGAUACGUAGCCGACCUGAGAGGGUGAUCGGCCGCACUGGAACUGAGACACGGUCCAGACUCCUACGGGAGGCAGCAGUAGGGAAUCUUCCGCAAUGGGCGAAAGCCUGACGGAGCAACGCCGCGUGAGUGAUGAAGGUCUUAGGAUCGUAAAACUCUGUUAUUAGGGAAGAACAAACGUGUAAGUAACUGUGCACGUCUUGACGGUACCUAAUCAGAAAGCCACGGCUAACUACGUGCCAGCAGCCGCGGUAAUACGUAGGUGGCAAGCGUUAUCCGGAAUUAUUGGGCGUAAAGCGCGCGUAGGCGGUUUUUUAAGUCUGAUGUGAAAGCCCACGGUCAACCGUGGAGGGUCAUUGGAAACUGGAAAACUUGAGUGCAGAAGAGGAAAGUGGAAUUCCAUGUGUAGCGGUGAAAUGCGCAGAGAUAUGGAGGAACACCAGUGGCGAAGGCGACUUCUGGUCUGUAACUGACGCUGAUGUGCGAAAGCGUGGGGAUCACCGGGAUUAGAUACCCUGGUAAGUCCACGCCCGGUAAACGAUGAAGUGCUAAAGUGGUUAAGGGGGGUUUCC
rnacentral:rRNA from 1 species